ensembl:snoRNA SNORA70 Small nucleolar RNA SNORA70
UGGGAGAGAAAGAACUGCAUUGUGCUGUCUUCUUCAUGGCGCCCUGUGUGCAAUGGCUGCAAAGAGCAGCCUCCUGAAUAUGGCCUGUUGCUUGUACAGGUGGCUCUAAGGGACCCUGGAGAUAGCC